GAAAAAGAGCAUGCAAAUGCAAGCUUGUCAGCCUGAGCUUCUUCCUGGGGCUGAAAGAGUUUCCAUGUCUUCUGUUUCCGAGGAGGAAAGGUCAGGUGCUGUGCGAGCUCAUUAAUUCACUAUAUCCUGAGGGGCAGGCCCCAGUAAAGAAGAUCCAGGCCUCUACGAUGGCCUUCAAGCAGAUGGAGCAGAUCUCUCAGUUCCUGCAAGCAGCCGAGCGUUAUGGCAUUAACACCACGGACAUCUUCCAGACUGUGGAUCUCUGGGAAGGAAAGAACAUGGCUUGUGUGCAGCGGACACUAAUGAACCUGGGUGGGCUGGCAGUAGCCAGGGACGAUGGGCUCUUCUCUGGGGACCCCAACUGGUUUCCUAAGAAAUCCAAGGAGAACCCUCGGAACUUCUCGGACAACCAGUUGCAAGAGGGCAAGAAUGUGAUUGGGUUACAGAUGGGCACCAACCGUGGAGCCUCUCAGGCUGGCAUGACUGGCUAUGGGAUGCCCAGGCAGAUCCUCUGAUCAGACCCUCCUCUUCCCCUGCCCUCUAUGAAUGGUUAAUAUAUAUGUAUAUAUAUGUUUUAGCAGACAUUCCCUGAGAGCCCCUGGCUUGCUAAGCUCCCCUCUGCCAGGGUGGGUCCAACCUAUCUUGUUACCUCUGGCAGUGCCUGAUAAUUGCCUCUCUCUCUCUGUCUCUCUCUCUCUCUCUCUGGGCUUACUAAUGCAUUCCUUCCCCCACAACCAUCAAAACUGGAC
rnacentral:lncRNA from 1 species